rnacentral:rRNA from 1 species
ACGAAGGGUGCAAACGUUGCUCGGAAUCAUUGGGCGUAAAGCGCACGUAGGCGGCGCUCUAAGUCGGAUGUGAAAUCCCUCGGCUCAACCGAGGACGUGCAUCCGAAACUGGAGUGCUCGAGUAUGGAAGAGGGUCGCGGAAUUCUCGGUGUAGAGGUGAAAUUCGUAGAUAUCGGGAGGAACACCAGUGGCGAAGGCGGCGACCUGGGCCAAUACUGACGCUGAGGUGCGAAAGCGUGGGGAGCAAACAGGA